GCGCGAAAACUUUACAAUGCGGGAAACCGUGAUAAGGGGACACCGAGUGCCAGCAUCAUAUGCUGGCUGUCCGGGUGUUUAAACUACACCUGUUAGCAAGGGCCGGGCAAGACCGGUGCCAGCCGCCGCGGUAACACCGGCGGCCCGAGUGGUGAUCGUGAUUAUUGAGCCUAAAGCGUCCGUAGCCGGUUCGGUAAAUCCUCGGGUAAAUCGGGCAGCUUAACUGUCCGAACACCGGGGAGACUGCCGGACUUGGGACCGGGAGAGGUCAGAGGUACUUCAGGGGUAGGGGCUAAAUCCUGUAAUCCUUGAAGGACCACCAGUGGCGAAGGCGUCUGACUAGAACGGAUCCGACGGUAAGGGACGAAACCCUGGGGCGCAAACCGGAUUAGAUACCCGGGUAGUCCAGGGCGUAAACGCUGCAGGCUUGGUGUUGGGGCCCUACGUGGGCGCUCAGUGCCGGAGUGAAGAUGUUAAGCCUGCCGCUUGGGGAGUAGUGUCCGCAAGGAUGAAACUUAAAGGAAUUGGCGGGAGAGCGACAGCAACGGGAGGAGCGGU
rnacentral:rRNA from 1 species